AAACUCAUUGAUCGGAAGGGAUUCCUUCCGGUCAAUGAGAUGUAACAACCUCAUCAAUUGGAAGGGAUUCCUUCCGGUCAAUGAGAUAUUUAUACCCCAUUGAUCUGAAGGGAUUCCUUCCGUUGAUUAGGAUGUUAUACCUCAUCGACCGGAAGGAAUCCCUUCCAGCCAAUGAGGUU
rnacentral:miRNA from 2 species